rnacentral:rRNA from 1 species
GGGGAAUAUUGGACAAUGGGGGCAACCCUGAUCCAGCCAUGCCGCGUGAGUGAUGAAGGCCUUAGGGUUGUAAAGCUCUUUCACCGGUGAAGAUAAUGACGGUAACCGGAGAAGAAGCCCCGGCUAACUUCGUGCCAGCAGCCGCGGUAAUACGAAGGGGGCUAGCGUUGUUCGGAAUUACUGGGCGUAAAGCGCACGUAGGCGGACAUUUAAGUCAGGGGUGAAAUCCCGCAGCUCAACUGCGGAACUGCCUUUGAUACUGGGUGUCUUGAGUAUGGAAGAGGUAAGUGGAAUCCCGAGUGUAGAGGUGAAAUUCGUAGAUAUUCGGAGGAACACCAGUGGCGAAGGCGGCUUACUGGUCCAUUACUGACGCUGAGGUGCGAAAGCGUGGGGAGCAAAC